AGAACGCUGAGAACUGGUGCUUGCACCGGUUCAAGGAGUUGCGAACGGGUGAGUAACGCGUAGGUAACCUACCUCAUAGCGGGGGAUAACUAUUGGAAACGAUAGCUAAUACCGCAUAAGAGAGACUAACGCAUGUUAGUAAUUUAAAAGGGGCAAUUGCUCCACUAUGAGAUGGACCUGCGUUGUAUUAGCUAGUUGGUGAGGUAAAGGCUCACCAAGGCGACGAUACAUAGCCGACCUGAGAGGGUGAUCGGCCACACUGGGACUGAGACACGGCCCAGACUCCUACGGGAGGCAGCAGUAGGGAAUCUUCGGCAAUGGGGGCAACCCUGACCGAGCAACGCCGCGUGAGUGAAGAAGGUUUUCGGAUCGUAAAGCUCUGUUGUUAGAGAAGAAUGAUGGUGGGAGUGGAAAAUCCACCAAGUGACGGUAACUAACCAGAAAGGGACGGCUAACUACGUGCCAGCAGCCGCGGUAAUACGUAGGUCCCGAGCGUUGUCCGGAUUUAUUGGGCGUAAAGCGAGCGCAGGCGGUUUUUUAAGUCUGAAGUUAAAGGCAUUGGCUCAACCAAUGUACGCUUUGGAAACUGGAGAACUUGAGUGCAGAAGGGGAGAGUGGAAUUCCAUGUGUAGCGGUGAAAUGCGUAGAUAUAUGGAGGAACACCGGUGGCGAAAGCGGCUCUCUGGUCUGUAACUGACGCUGAGGCUCGAAAGCGUGGGGAGCAAACAGGAUUA
rnacentral:rRNA from 1 species